rnacentral:rRNA from 1 species
AGUGAACGCUGGCGGUAGGCCUAACACAUGCAAGUCGAACGGCAGCACAGAGGAGCUUGCUCCUUGGGUGGCGAGUGGCGGACGGGUGAGGAAUACAUCGGAAUCUACUCUGUCGUGGGGGAUAACGUAGGGAAACUUACGCUAAUACCGCAUACGACCUACGGGUGAAAGCAGGGGAUCUUCGGACCUUGCGCGAUUGAAUGAGCCGAAGUCGGAUUAGCUAGUUGGCGGGGUAAAGGCCCACCAAGGCGACGAUCCGUAGCUGGUCUGAGAGGAUGAUCAGCCACACUGGAACUGAGACACGGUCCAGACUCCUACGGGAGGCAGCAGUGGGGAAUAUUGGACAAUGGGCGCAAGCCUGAUCCAGCCAUACCGCGUGGGUGAAGAAGGCCUUCGGGUUGUAAAGCCCUUCUGUUGGGAAAGAAAUCCAUCUGGUUAAUACCCGGGUGGGAUGACGGUACCCAAAGAAUAAGCACCGGCUAACUUCGUGCCAGCAGCCGCCGCAG